rnacentral:pre_miRNA from 1 species
AUUAAGUUUAAUUUUCAGUUUUUAAAUACAAUAUUCUGACUCUUCGUCUUAUUUAAAAUAUUUUUACGAUUAAUAUUUUUAUUGUUACUGGAUGGUAAAACAUAAAUAGUACUUUAUAUAUGACUUAUUUUUUAAGUUUUUUAUAAAAUUUUUAAAUAAAACGAAUUAUCAAAGCAUCGAGUACACAAAUCAACAAAUAAAGGUAUU